CAGGAAUGUACAUGGUUAGAACAGAGCUCUGAGGGAGCCAACAGCCAGGCUUGACCCAGGCCCUAGCAUUUUAGAAGCCACCUGACUCGUUGUAGUAAUGCUGUGGAGAGACCCACGUGACAAGGAACCGAAAUCUCUGGCCAACAGCCAGCGAGGAACACAAGCCAGCUAGCAAACACUGGGGGAGCUUGGAAGUGGGUUCUCCGGGCCCAACAACAGACAGCUAAUAUAAGAAGAAAAGCAAGACAUGAAGUGGAGGAGAACAAAGACAGUCUGAAACCCUUAAGGAUAAGCUGGAACCAAAGGACAGACUGGAACUUGCAUGGGUCUUACGCUCCUUCUAAGCCUUCAUCUUUGAUGAUGCAUGAUCUGCAGGAGAAACUGGGACCUUUCAUCACAAAGCUAAACAAGCACAUGACUCAGUUGCUGGAGAGGCUGAAGGAAGAUUCAGCAGGAGCUAGAGUGGCUACAGGCCUGGCUGCCACACUGUGCCAUCAAGCUUGGCUUAGAAAAUCCAGCAGAUAACUCUGAGGAGAGCAUGGAGCCCGAUGGAAGGAGUCUAGACCUGCAUAUCCAUCUGAGAUGGAAACCCCUUCCAGCCUGCACUGUUUUGUGAUAUGACUGAGAAAUAAAUCUAUAUUGUGUUAAGCCACCAAG
rnacentral:lncRNA from 10 species